rnacentral:rRNA from 1 species
UACGGGAGGCAGCAGUGGGGAAUAUUGCACAAUGGGCGCAAGCCUGAUGCAGCCAUGCCGCGUAUAUGAAAAAGGCCUUCGGGUUGUAAAGUACUUUCAGUCGUGAGGAAGGUGUUAAGGUUAAUAACCUUAGCAAUUGACGUUAGCGACAGAAGAAGCACCGGCUAACUCCGUGCCAGCAGCCGCGGUAAUACGGAGGGUGCGAGCGUUAAUCGGAAUUACUGGGCGUAAAGGGCACGCAGGCGGUUAAUUAAGUUGGAUGUGAAAUCCCCGGGCUUAACCUGGGAAUGGCAUUCAAGACUGGUUAGCUAGAGUCUUGUAGAGGGGGUAGAAUUCCAUGUGUAGCGGUGAAAUGCGUAGAGAUGUGGAGGAAUACCGGUGGCGAAGGCGGCCCCUGGACAAAGACUGACGCUCAUGUGCGAAAGCGUGGGGAGCAAACAGGGAUUAGAUACC